GACAAGUAUUUUCGGACGAAGGAAGUAUGAUUUUAUUUUCAUAUAUUCAUGUGAUACUUAUUGUUUUCAACAAGGCCUCCCCUUCGGUAUUGCUCAUGUACAUAGGGUUUUGGAGGAGAGUAAACUGUGGCUGGUAGCAGGAUUACUUCGAGGGGAUAUAGAGCAGUUCUUGGCAAAAUUAUCGAGGCAGGCUAGUAGCUAGCAAGUAGUAUUUCUAUAAUUUCGACGGAAUUGGGAGUAAUCCCGAUGUGUACACGGUGGAUGGGCAUCUUUCUCUGUCUUCUAUGAAUAUAUGACACACAUGCUUGUGCGUAUUAUAGAAGGAAAAUAUACAGUGUAAGCAAAAUAGAUAAAUAUAUGGAUCAAAGGGCUCACUUCUAUUACUUUUCAG
rnacentral:lncRNA from 1 species